rnacentral:tRNA from 1 species
UAGCUCAGUUGGAUAGAGCAACGGCCUUCUAAGCCGUGGGUCGGGGGUUCGAAUCCCU